rfam:Trichosporon oleaginosus strain IBC0246 unplaced genomic scaffold CC85scaffold_7, whole genome shotgun sequence.
GGCGAGAUGGCCGAGCGGUCUAAGGCGCUGUGUUAAGGUGACUCCCCAGACAUCCUCUGGACUUCAGUAUCUCCGCAGUCUUCGGACGUGGGUUCGAAUCCCACUCUCGUCA